rnacentral:rRNA from 1 species
GACGUAGGUGGCAAGCGUUGUCCGGAUUUACUGGGCGUAAAGAGCGUGUAGGCGGCCAGGUAGGUCGGUUGUGAAAACUGGAGGCUCAAUCUUCAGAGGUCGACCGAAACCAUCUGGCUAGAGUCCCGGGGAGAGGAGAGUGGAAUUCCUGGUGUAGCGGUGAAAUGCGCAGAUAUCAGGAAGAACACCCGUGGCGAAAGCGGCUCUCUGGAACGGUAC